GACGAACGCUGGCGGCGUGCCUAAUACAUGCAAGUAGAACGCACAGUUUAUACUGUAGCUUGCUACACCAUAAACUGUGAGUUGCGAACGGGGGAGUAACGCGUAGGUAACCUGUGUGGUAGCGGGGGAUAACUAUUGGAAACGAUAGCUAAUACCGCAUAAUAUUGAUUAUUGCAUGAUAAUUGAUUGAAAGAUGCUAUUGCAUCACUACCAGAUGGACCUGCGUUGUAUUAGCUAGUAGGUGAGGUAACGGCUCACCUAGGCGACGAUACAUAGCCGACCUGAUAGGGUGAUCGGCCACACUGGGACUGAGACACGGCCCAGACUCCUACGGGAGGCAGCAGUAGGGAAUCUUCGGCAAUGGACGAAAGUCUGACCGAGCAACGCCGCGUGAGUGAAGAAGGUUUUCGGAUCGUAAAGCUCUGUUGUAAGAGAAGAACGGGUGUGAGAGUGGAAAGUUCACACUGUGACGGUAUCUUACCAGAAAGGGACGGCUAACUACGUG
rnacentral:rRNA from 1 species